CUUGAAACAAGACGUCAUAGAGGGUGAGAAUCCCGUAUGUGACCGGCCGCCACCCCCGUGAAAAGCUCUUUAGAAGAGUCGAGUUGUUUGGGAACGCAUCUCAAAAGGGGUUGUAAAUUUCAUCUAAAGAUAAAUAUUCCCCAGAGACCGAUAGCGCACAAGUAGAGUGAUCGAAAGAUGAAAAGCAUUUUGGAAAGAGACUCACACAGCACGAGAAAUUGUUGAAAGGGACGCGCGUGCAACCAGACUCCCCCGGGGGCGCUCAGCCGGUAUUUUUACCGGCGCACUCACCCGCGGUCAGCCCAGCAUCGGUUCGGGCGGCUGGACAAAGUCCGCGGGAAUGUAGCUCCUUGUGGGGAGUGUUAUAGCCAGCGGCCCCACGCAGCCCCCCCGGCCCGAGGACCGCGCUUCGGCUAGGAUGCUGGCGUAAUGGUUGUAAGCGACCCGUCUUGAAACACGGACCAAGGAGUCUAACAUCUAUGCGAGUGUUUGGGUGUCAAACCCAUGCGCGUAAUGAAAGUGAACGGAGGUGGGAACCCUCAAGGGUGCACCAUCGACCGAUCCUGAUGUCUUCGGAUGGAUUUGAGUAAGAGCAUAGCUGUUGGGACCCGAAAGAUGGUGAAAUAUGCCUGAAUAGGGUGAAGCCAGAGGAAACUCUGGACUCCAGCGGUUCUGACGUGCAAAUCGAUCGUCAAAUUUGGGUAUAGGGGCGAA
rnacentral:rRNA from 1 species